rnacentral:rRNA from 1 species
AGUGAACGCUGGCGGUAGGCCUAACACAUGCAAGUCGAACGGCAGCACAGUAAGAGCUUGCUCUUACGGGUGGCGAGUGGCGGACGGGUGAGGAAUACAUCGGAAUCUACUUUUUCGUGGGGGAUAACGUAGGGAAACUUACGCUAAUACCGCAUACGACCUACGGGUGAAAGAAGGGGAUCUUCGGACCUUGCGCGAUUGAAUGAGCCGAUGUCGGAUUAGCUAGUUGGCGGGGUAAAGGCCCACCAAGGCGACGAUCCGUAGCUGGUCUGAGAGGAUGAUCAGCCACACUGGAACUGAGACACGGUCCAGACUCCUACGGGAGGCAGCAGUGGGGAAUAUUGGACAAAGGGCGCAAGCCUGAUCCAGCCAUACCGCGUGGGUGAAGAAGGCCUUCGGGUUGUAAAGCCCUUUUGUUGGGAAAGAAAAGCAGCAGGUUAAUACCCCGCUGUUCUGACGGUACCCAAAGAAUAAGCACCGGCUAACUUCGUG